GGGUCAGUAGGUUGGUCGUGCCACCGGUACGUACUGGCCUCACUGAUUCCUCCUUCCUGAAGUACCGUAAUGCCAUUAAUUUGGUGUUGCGGGGAAACAGGACUGUUACUUUGAAAAAAUUAGAGUGUUUAAAGCAAGCUAACGCUUGAAUACAUUAGCAUGGAAUAAUGAAAUAGGACGAUCGAUCCUAUUUUGUUGGUUUCUAGGAUUGACGUA
rnacentral:rRNA from 1 species